rnacentral:lncRNA from 1 species
AGCAAGUUCGGAUGAAAAAGAUAAAAAUAAGGAAAAAAGUAUAGAUGAUAAAGAUGAAAAUAAUGAAGGAAGUUCGGAUGAAAAAACUAACAAUUUAGAUAACUCGAACAACGAAGAAAGUAAAUUAUCUAACGAAACGAUGCAACUUAGUUCGAACGAUUGUGCAGAAAAAUCAGACGAUAAAAAAACAUAAUUAAUUAAUAUAAUAUAUCGAGAACCCUUAAAACAAUCAAUAUGGAAAAUAUAUCUUCGUAAGAAUGAAAUAAAAAUUAUUUUGAUUACGAUCUAUUCUAAGAAUAGUUCAUUGAGAUAGCAAUAAUGAUGGAAUAUCGUUUUUCAUCGAUAUCAUAUCAACGGGUUGACAGAGUUUUAUUCGCAGUUUUAUUAACGAAAAACCUCGCGUGUUAUAACACGGAUGCUUUUUAACAAGAGUUCCCUUCGUUACGUAACUUCUAGGCAGUCAACUCUGAUGCUCGUUAAACUGUUAAUGACUAUAUCACCAUUUUAAUUCUAUCUUCCCAUGUGCGAAUUAUUUACGCAUCAUGUUCGUCUCGUGGUUUGCUAAAAGUUGCUCUACGAAUAGUUCUAACUGGUUUACACUUAUUGCUACUGGGAUAAUCACCAAAAGUUGUAAUACAGUUUCUCAGUUAAGAAUCAACGACUUGUCGGAACGAGAUUCAAAAAAAAAUUGGGAACGUCUGUUGAACUAUUUUCUAUGUUUCCUAACAUUGGAAGAAAGAGCAAUAUGCAUAAAUAUAAAUACAUAAAUAUAUUAG